UACGUAGGGGGGCGAGCGUUUGUCCGGAGUUCUGGGGCGUAAAAGGGGCGUGCAGGCGGUGCAGUAAGUUUGGAGUGACAAGUACCCCGGCUUCAACCUGGGGUAAGGACUUUUGAAAAACUGCUGGACUUGAGGGCCUAGAGAGGACAUAGAAAUUCCGGGGUAGGCAGUGGUGAAAUGCGGUAGAAUAUCCGGAGGAACACCAG
rnacentral:rRNA from 1 species